rnacentral:rRNA from 1 species
UACGGGGGGGGCAAGCGUUGUUCGGAAUUACUGGGCGUAAAGGGCUCGUAGGCGGCCAACUAAGUCAGACGUGAAAUCCCUCGGCUUAACCGGGGAACUGCGUCUGAUACUGGAUGGCUUGAGUUUGGGAGAGGGAUGCGGAAUUCCAGGUGUAGCGGUGAAAUGCGUAGAUAUCUGGAGGAACACCGGUGGCGGAAGGCGGCCAUCCUG